rfam:Aspergillus flavus AF70 117, whole genome shotgun sequence.
UCAAAUGAUGAGAAAAAUCGAUUAGCUCUAGAUCAGGAGUCGCAUUUGCGGCGGUGACGGAUAUAUCAUGUAUUAUCUGAUGA